rnacentral:rRNA from 1 species
UAGUUGAUCCUGGCUCAGAUUGAACGCUGGCGGCAGGCCUAACACAUGCAAGUCGAACGGUAACAGGAAUCAGCUUGCUGAUUCGCUGACGAGUGGCGGACGGGUGAGUAAUGUCUGGGAAACUGCCUGAUGGAGGGGGAUAACUACUGGAAACGGUAGCUAAUACCGCAUAACGUCGCAAGACCAAAGAGGGGGACCUUCGGGCCUCUUGCCAUCGGAUGUACCCAGAUGGGAUUAGCUAGUAGGUGGGGUAACGGCUCACCUAGGCGACGAUCCCUAGCUGGUCUGAGAGGAUGACCAGCCACACUGGAACUGAGACACGGUCCAGACUCCUACGGGAGGCAGCAGUGGGGAAUAUUGCACAAUGGACGCAAGUCUGAUGGAGCAACGCCGCGUGAGUGAAGAAGGGUUUCGGCUCGUAAAGCUCUGUUGGUAGUGAAGAAAGAUAGAGGUAGUAACUGGCCUUUAUUUGACGGUAAUUACUUAGAAAGUCACGGCUAACUACGUGCCAGCAGCCGCGGUAAUACGUAGGUGGCAAGCGUUGUCCGGAUUUAUUGGGCGUAAAGCGAGUGCAGGCGGUUCAAUAAGUCUGAUGUGAAAGCCUUCGGCUCAACCGGAGAAUUGCAUCAGAAACUGUUGAACUU